rnacentral:rRNA from 1 species
UACGUAGGUGGCAAGCGUUGUCCGGAUUUACUGGGCGUAAAGCGAGCGCAGGUGGUUUAUUAAGUCUGGUGUAAAAGGCAGUGGCUCAACCAUUGUAUGCAUUGGAAACUGGCAGACUUGAGUGCAGGAGAGGAGAGUGGAAUUCCAUGUGUAGCGGUGAAAUGCGUAGAUAUAUGGAGGAACACCGGUGGCGAAAGCGGCUCUCUGGCCUGUAACUGACACUGAGGCUCGAAAGCGUGGGGAGCAAACAGG